rnacentral:rRNA from 1 species
AGCUAAUAGAUACCCAGGUAGUCCACGCCCUAAACGAUGUCUACUAGUUGUUGGUGGAGUAAAAUCCAUGAGUAAACGCAGCUAACGCGUGAAGUAGACCGCCUGGGGAGUACGGUCGCAAGAUUAAAGCUCAAAGGAAUUGACGGGGGCCCGCACAAGCGGUGGAUUAUGUGGAUUAAUUCGAUGCAACGCGAAAACCUUACCUGGCCUUGACAUGCCACUAACGAAGCAGAGAUGCAUUAGGUGCCCGUAAGGGAAAGUGGACACAGGUGCUGCAUGGCUGUCGUCAGCUCGUGUCGAGAGAUGUUGGGUUUAAGUCCCGCAACGAGCGCAACCCUUGCCAUUAAUUGCCAUCAUUUAGUUGGGCACUUUAAUGGGACUGCCGGUGACAAACCGGAGGAAGGUGGGGAUGACGUCAAGUCCUCAUGGCCCUUAUGGCCAGGGCUUCACACGUAAUACAAUGGUCGGUACAGAGAGUUGCCAACCCGCGAGGGGGAGCUAAUCUCAGAAAGCCGAUCGUAGUCCGGAUUGUUCU